GGGGUUAUAGUUAAAUCAUAACUUUUAAUUUGCAAUUAAAAAUUAUUCAACCAGAAUUAUCCUCA
rnacentral:tRNA from 1 species